rnacentral:lncRNA from 1 species
UUUGAGCGUUGAAGCGACUUAACUCACCCUGACUGAAGAUUGAAGGGGUCUUCCCCUGGCCAACAGAACCUCUAGGUGAUCGGUCCAUAGUUAAUAGGGUCUUGAGAUGAUUUUCUAUAGAUCAACCGAUUCUUGAAAUGACUUUCCCCUGAUUAACAGAUGUUUGGAGACUGUUUCAGGCUGACUGAUUCCUGGAGUAAUCUUCCUCCGAUCAACUAUUGUUUUUGGGAGGCAUGCCCCUGAUUCAUGGGUUAUCAUCAAG